rnacentral:rRNA from 1 species
UACAGAGGGUGCGAGCGUUAAUCGGAAUUACUGGGCGUAAAGCGUGCGUAGACGGUUUCGUAAGUCGGGUGUGAAAUCCCCGGGCUCAACCUGGGAAUUGCAUUCGAAACUGCGAGGCUAGGGUACGGAAGAGGGAAGCGGAAUUUCUGGUGUAGCGGUGAAAUGCGUAGAUAUCAGAAGGAACAUCAGUGGCGAAAGCGGCUUCCUGGUCCAGUACCGACGUUCAGGCACGAAAGCGUGGGGAGCGAACAGG